rnacentral:lncRNA from 1 species
AACUGUUAGGUGAGGACCCAAUGACGAUUUUAUUCCUACGGUUAUACGAUGGGUCUGACUUAACUAAGAAAUGGGACCAAUAACUGUUAGGUGAGAUUUUCAUGGCUUAGAGACCAAGUUACACUGCAACAUGCUUGAGAAGCAUUGUACAAGAGUUGUACAUUCAUCAAUCUAUGUGUCACCAAUAACUGUUAGGUGAGAUGGCAUGUAAAUCGGUGGGACCGCAGUACCCACUAGAAAUCCUAGUCGUGUGGGAUUUCCGUUUUCCUACCAGGGGAGUGUGAGGGAUUCGAGAAAAUAGUGGGAGUUACAUUU